UUGGGUUGAUUGGCAGUUGACAUUCUUUAGAAUUAUUGUUUUGAUUGACAGGCAGGCCGUCGUCAAGGCGAAGGACGACUCUCGCGCCGUCUCCAGGGGAAGCUCCCUCCCUGCUGCAUUACUUUCAACAGCUUCAUCACUGCCAUGGGUUAUUUAAUUUUGGUACACUUUCCCCACAAAUAUGCGUUGUUGUACUUUUGGAUGUACUUCUCCGUAUUCUGUAAGGACCUCUGCAGUUUUGGCAAACAACAAACCACACUUCACCUGGAAAACAGAGCCAGGACUCACUGUCAGAUGUCUGCAAAUGUACAGUAGGCUACACGCCAGCAGGUCUCACCAUAGUCAGCAUCAUCAAGGAUUGUCACUCCGACCUGAGAAGAGGCCCCAUAGAGACACGGACAAGGACCAGCCACUGUUGCCAGUGCACAACUGAGGACCCGACCAGCCUGCUGCCAUCUAUGAUACUAUAUAGUACCCGCGGAGCGGUCUGAAGACGUGGAGUACACUGCAGCAGGUAUCACAUGACCAAGGACUUGGACAACGUCUCUGUUUACAUCUAUAGUGUAUUACACAAGUGAGUGUACACCCCCAUAUUUCUGCAGAUGUAAUGGGACAAUAAAGACAUUUGAAAACUGAAAAUGAAGUCUGCACUUCAAGCUCAUCACAUUAAAUAAGUAAAACAGGAGCUUGGUGAGCAGACUUAAUUUUCAGUUGUCAUUUGACUUUGUUAGUCCUGCACCCAAAACUUUUUUGAGAAGGAUGUUCAUGGGUUUUUCCUUUUUAAACAAAUGUAGACAUUUUUACUACACUGAAAUGUUAUAGUUACUCUAUAUAUACCAGUGAUAUGCUUCAAUUAUGUUCAUGUUACAUU